AUGCCUUAAACUUAUGAGUAAGAAAACUAAUGAUCUGGGGUGACAUCCGAAUCCUCACUGCUAAUGUGAGAUGGAUUUUUGAGCAAGUAAAGGUUGCCCCUAAGGUGACCCGCCUAUUUUGCUAGAUGCCUGGGAGUCGCGAUCUGCCUG
rnacentral:snRNA from 1 species